GGGUUGUGAGGUUAAGCGACUAAGCGUACACGGUGGAUGCCCUGGCAGUCAGAGGCGAUGAAGGACGUGCUAAUCUGCGAUAAGCGUCGGUGAGGUGAUAUGAACCGUUAUAACCGGCGAUUUCCGAAUGGGGAAACCCAGUGUGUUUCGACACACUAUCAUUAACUGAAUCCAUAGGUUAAUGAGGCGAACCGGGGGAACUGAAACAUCUAAGUACCCCGAGGAAAAGAAAUCAACCGAGAUUCCCCCAGUAGCGGCGAGCGAACGGGGAGGAGCCCAGAGCCUGAAUCAGUGUGUGUGUUAGUGGAAGCGUCUGGAAAGGCGCGCGAUACAGGGUGACAGCCCCGUACACAAAAAUGCACAUACUGUGAGCUCGAUGAGUAGGACGGGACACGUGGUAUCCUGUCUGAAUAUGGGGGGACCAUCCUCCAAGGCUAAAUACUCCUGACUGACCGAUAGUGAACCAGUACCGUGAGGGAAAGGCGAAAAGAACCCCGGCGAGGGGAGUGAAAAAGAACCUGAAACCGUGUACGUACAAGCAGUGGGAGCCUCUUAAUGGGGUGACUGCGUACCUUUUGUAUAAUGGGUCAGCGACUUAUAUUCUGUAGCAAGGUUAACCGAAUAGGGGAGCCGAAGGGAAACCGAGUCUUAACUGGGCGUUAAGUUGCAGGGUAUAGACCCGAAACCCGGUGAUCUAGCCAUGGGCAGGUUGAAGGUUGGGUAACACUAACUGGAGGACCGAACCGACUAAUGUUGAAAAAUUAGCGGAUGACUUGUGGCUGGGGGUGAAAGGCCAAUCAAACCGGGAGAUAGCUGGUUCUCCCCGAAAGCUAUUUAGGUAGCGCCUCGUGAAUUCAUCUCCGGGGGUAGAGCACUGUUUCGGCAAGGGGGUCAUCCCGACUUACCAACCCGAUGCAAACUGCGAAUACCGGAGAAUGUUAUCACGGGAGACACACGGCGGGUGCUAACGUCCGUCGUGAAGAGGGAAACAACCCAGACCGCCAGCUAAGGUCCCAAAGUCAUGGUUAAGUGGGAAACGAUGUGGGAAGGCCCAGACAGCCAGGAUGUUGGCUUAGAAGCAGCCAUCAUUUAAAGAAAGCGUAAUAGCUCACUGGUCGAGUCGGCCUGCGCGGAAGAUGUAACGGGGCUAAACCAUGCACCGAAGCUGCGGCAGCGACACUAUGUGUUGUUGGGUAGGGGAGCGUUCUGUAAGCCUGUGAAGGUGUACUGUGAGGUAUGCUGGAGGUAUCAGAAGUGCGAAUGCUGACAUAAGUAACGAUAAAGCGGGUGAAAAGCCCGCUCGCCGGAAGACCAAGGGUUCCUGUCCAACGUUAAUCGGGGCAGGGUGAGUCGACCCCUAAGGCGAGGCCGAAAGGCGUAGUCGAUGGGAAACAGGUUAAUAUUCCUGUACUUGGUGUUACUGCGAAGGGGGGACGGAGAAGGCUAUGUUGGCCGGGCGACGGUUGUCCCGGUUUAAGCGUGUAGGCUGGUUUUCCAGGCAAAUCCGGAAAAUCAAGGCUGAGGCGUGAUGACGAGGCACUACGGUGCUGAAGCGACAAAUGCCCUGCUUCCAGGAAAAGCCUCUAAGCAUCAGGUAACAUCAAAUCGUACCCCAAACCGACACAGGUGGUCAGGUAGAGAAUACCAAGGCGCUUGAGAGAACUCGGGUGAAGGAACUAGGCAAAAUGGUGCCGUAACUUCGGGAGAAGGCACGCUGAUAUGUAGGUGAAGCGACUUGCUCGUGGAGCUGAAAUCAGUCGAAGAUACCAGCUGGCUGCAACUGUUUAUUAAAAACACAGCACUGUGCAAACACGAAAGUGGACGUAUACGGUGUGACGCCUGCCCGGUGCCGGAAGGUUAAUUGAUGGGGUUAGCGGUAACGCGAAGCUCUUGAUCGAAGCCCCGGUAAACGGCGGCCGUAACUAUAACGGUCCUAAGGUAGCGAAAUUCCUUGUCGGGUAAGUUCCGACCUGCACGAAUGGCGUAAUGAUGGCCAGGCUGUCUCCACCCGAGACUCAGUGAAAUUGAACUCGCUGUGAAGAUGCAGUGUACCCGCGGCAAGACGGAAAGACCCCGUGAACCUUUACUAUAGCUUGACACUGAACAUUGAGCCUUGAUGUGUAGGAUAGGUGGGAGGCUUUGAAGUGUGGACGCCAGUCUGCAUGGAGCCGACCUUGAAAUACCACCCUUUAAUGUUUGAUGUUCUAACGUGGGCCCCUUACCGGGGUUGCGGACAGUGUCUGGUGGGUAGUUUGACUGGGGCGGUCUCCUCCUAAAGAGUAACGGAGGAGCACGAAGGUUGGCUAAUCCUGGUCGGACAUCAGGAGGUUAGUGCAAUGGCAUAAGCCAGCUUGACUGCGAGCGUGACGGCGCGAGCAGGUGCGAAAGCAGGUCAUAGUGAUCCGGUGGUUCUGAAUGGAAGGGCCAUCGCUCAACGGAUAAAAGGUACUCCGGGGAUAACAGGCUGAUACCGCCCAAGAGUUCAUAUCGACGGCGGUGUUUGGCACCUCGAUGUCGGCUCAUCACAUCCUGGGGCUGAAGUAGGUCCCAAGGGUAUGGCUGUUCGCCAUUUAAAGUGGUACGCGAGCUGGGUUUAGAACGUCGUGAGACAGUUCGGUCCCUAUCUGCCGUGGGCGCUGGAGAACUGAGGGGGGCUGCUCCUAGUACGAGAGGACCGGAGUGGACGCAUCACUGGUGUUCGGGUUGUCAUGCCAAUGGCACUGCCCGGUAGCUAAAUGCGGAAGAGAUAAGUGCUGAAAGCAUCUAAGCACGAAACUUGCCCCGAGAUGAGUUCUCCCUGACUCCUUGAGAGUCCUGAAGGAACGUUGAAGACGACGACGUUGAUAGGCCGGGUGUGUAAGCGCAGCGAUGCGUUGAGCUAACCGGUACUAAUGAACCGUGAGGCUUAACCUUACAACGCCGAAG
rnacentral:rRNA from 1 species